rnacentral:lncRNA from 1 species
UAAAAAGUAUGUAAAAAACUUACCUAACUCUAAACUAUCUUACUUACUAUCGCUAGCGCAGGUGAUAAAAGAUUUGAUGAUUGAUAUUCGAGCUCCCAAAUUUAAAGCCUAAUUGCUUUAUAUUUGUAGUUAAGUUUAUUUUUAAGAAAAAAAUAAAUGAAGCAGAUAGCAUGCUACAUUUCUCUAAAAAAAAAAAAAAAUUAUAGACCAUAUUGACUCAACUAUUCAACCUUUUAACAUUUUAAUUUUAGUGCAUAACCUUUCAAUUUGUUUGAUUUAAAUGAUUUGAUAGCUCUUUGAGUAUAAAAUUUAAGCUAAUUGCUAAAUUUAGUAAAUUUAUAGUUACGUGAAUUAUAUAAAAUAUACUAACUAAACCAGCAAUAUAAAUGCUGCAUUCACACUUUGAAGUUAAAAAGUUACUAACUGACUUAGAUCAAAUUAAUAAAUUAAA